CCUACGGGAGGCAGCAGUAGGGAAUUUUGGACAAUGGGCGAAACCCUGAUCCAGCAACGCCGCGUGAGUGAAGAAGUAUUUCGGUAUGUAAAGCUCUAUCAGCGGGGAAGAAAGUGACGGUACCGGACUAAGAAGCACAGGCUAACUACGUGCCAGCAGCCGCGGUAAUACGUCGGGGGCACGCGUUAUCCGGAUUUACUGGGUGUAAAGGGAGCGUAGACGGUGCAGCAAGUCUGAUGUGAAAGGGCGGUGACCAAACCAGUGACUGCAGUGGAGACUGUUAAACUGGAGUACAGGAGAGGUAGGCGGAAUUCCUAGUGUAGCGGUGAAAUGCGUAGAUAUUAGGAGGAACACCAGUGGCGAAGGCGGCUUACUGGAAUGUAACUGACGUUGAGGCCCGAAAGCGUGGGGAGCAAAUAGGAUUAGAUACCCUAGUAGUC
rnacentral:rRNA from 1 species